GAUGAACGCUGGCGGCGUGCUUAACACAUGCAAGUCGAGCGAGUGAGUUCUUCGGAACGAUCUAGCGGCGGACGGGUGAGUAACACGUGGGCAACCUGCCUCAUAGAGGGGAAUAGCCUCCCGAAAGGGAGAUUAAUACCGCAUAAAAUUAUCGAGUGGCAUCACAUGAUAAUCAAAGGAGUAAUUCGCUAUGAGAUGGGCCCGCGGCGCAUUAGCUAGUUGGUGAGGUAACGGCUCACCAAGGCGACGAUGCGUAGCCGACCUGAGAGGGUGAUCGGCCACGUUGGGACUGAGACACGGCCCAGACUCCUACGGGAGGCAGCAGUGGGGAAUAUUGCACAAUGGGGGAAACCCUGAUGCAGCAACGCCGCGUGAGUGAUGAAGGUCUUCGGAUUGUAAAGCUCUGUCUUUGGGGACGAUAAUGACGGUACCCAAGGAGGAAGCCACGGCUAACUACGUGCCAGCAGCCGCCGUAA
rnacentral:rRNA from 1 species